rnacentral:tRNA from 1 species
UCCCUGGUGGUCCAGUGGUUAGGAUUCUGCGCUUUCACUGCCAAAGGCCUGGGUUCAAUCCCAGAUCUGGGAA